UCGUGAACAUGGCGUACUGCUCAGUAACACGUGGAUAACCUGCCCUUGGGUCCGGCAUAACCCCGGGAAACUGGGGAUAAUUCCGGAUAACGCACAUAUGCUGGAAUGCUUUAUGCGUAAAAUGGAUUCGUCUGCCCAAGGAUGGGUCUGCGGCCUAUCAGGUAGUAGUGGGCGUAAUGUACCUACUAGCCAACAACGGGUACGGGUUGUGAGAGCAAGAGCCCGGAGAUGGAUUCUGAGACAUGAAUCCAGGCCCUACGGGGCGCAGCAGGCGCGAAAACUUUACAAUGCGGGAAACCGUGAUAAGGGGACACCGAGUGCCAGCAUCAUAUGCUGGCUGUCCAGGUGUGUAAAAUACACCUGUUAGCAAGGGCCGGGCAAGACCGGUGCCAGCCGCCGCGGUAACACCGGCGGCCCGAGUGGUGAUCGUGAUUAUUGGGUCUAAAGGGUCCGUAGCCGGUUUGGUCAGUCCUCCGGGAAAUCUGACGGCUCAACCGUUAGGCUUUCGGGGGAUACUGCCAGGCUUGGAACCGGGAGAGGUAAGAGGUACUACAGGGGUAGGAGUGAAAUCUUGUAAUCCCUGUGGGACCACCUGCGGCGAAGGCGUCUUACCAGAACGGGUUCGACGGUGAGGGACGAAAGCUGGGGGCACGAACCGGAUUAGAUACCCGGGUAGUCCCAGCCGUAAACGAUGCUCGCUAGGUGUCAGGCAUGGCGCGACCGUGUCUGGUGCCGCAGGGAAGCCGUGAAGCGAGCCACCUGGGAAGUACGGCCGCAAGGCUGAAACUUAAAGGAAUUGG
rnacentral:rRNA from 1 species